CACAAGCGGUGGAGCAUGUGGUUUAAUUCGAAGCAACGCGAAGAACCUUACCAGGUCUUGACACUCCCCUGACCAACCCAAGAGAUUGGGCGUUCCCCUUCGGGGGACAGGGUGACAGGUGGUGCAUGGUUGUCGUCAGCUCGUGUCGUGAGAUGUUGGGUUAAGUCCCGCAACGAGCGCAACCCUCGCCUCUAGUUGCCAGCAUUCGGUUGGGCACUCUAGAGGGACUGCCGGCGACAAGUCGGAGGAAGGUGGGGAUGACGUCAAAUCAUCAUGCCCCUUAUGACCUGGGCUACACACGUGCUACAAUGGGCGGUACAAAGGGCUGCGAACCCGCGAGGGGGAGCGAAUCCCAAAAAGCCGCUCUCAGUUCGGAUUGCAGGCUGCAACUCGCCUGCAUGAAGCCGGAAUCGCUAGUAAUCGCGGAUCAGCACGCCGCGGUGAAUACGUUCCCGGGCCUU
rnacentral:rRNA from 1 species